rnacentral:lncRNA from 1 species
CUCGCUUAGGCUGGGGGAUAAGACAGCAAGAUUGCAGCCUGUAUGAUAGAAUUGAGCCUUCAUCAGCUAUGCAGUGUGCUGGUACGCGCGCUGUUAACAGGCAAGGCUGCUAUACGGGAACAAAAAAUAUUGUUUGACUGGGCUGAAUAACUGACAGUAGUGUGAAUUGCAAAGGGACGACAUCAACACAGACUGAAUAUUCAGCAUGAAUGCUGACAUUUCUUGAACUAUGCAUAAUAGCUGGGAAGAACAAGCACAUUUCCGGAGACUUGUUGGGAGAAAUCCAUAAGAAGUAUUAGACUAUGACCAGAUGAAAUACUGUCUGGAGCUGCUUAUAACUUCUAGGGAGCUUCGAGCUGACCAAGUGCUCUUGAAACCCUCUCUGCAACUAGCAGCCGCUUUCU